rnacentral:lncRNA from 1 species
GGCUGGGAUUUGUAGUCCUCACUGGCUUCCUGGCCUACCCCUCUCCGGAAGAAAAUGGCUGCCUCAAGUGCUUGGACCACAUUUCCCGGAGUGCCCCGGGCUCCUGUUUUCCGCCCACUUUCUUCCGUACCCCGCUGCGCUCCAAGCACGAGAAUGCACCUGCAGUUUCCAGCAGCGUUGCCGCCAGGUGAAUUUGAUGAUCCGAUAGUAGGUGACCUUUGAAAGUUAACAGGGGUGCCAUGGGCUGAGUAAGAUAAAUGGAACUGCUGUU